CGAGACUGUCUUUUUUUUGUUUCAAUCUUUGCUUGGUUGGAUCUGUUUAUGAAAAACAAGGAACCCCCUUUUACCUUUGUCUGCUCCCAUUUCCAAGCAGGCAGCACUGAGCGACCAGCAGACGGCUCGUACCGCUGAGAGCUCGGUGCCAGCUCUCGCAGUGCAAGAGCAGCCUCCUGCCGAUGUCUGUUCUCAGCAAAAUUACUGACAGUUUGGUCGGGCACAGAGUCCAAAGCAGCAUUUCCCCACCAAGAUUCACGUGCCUUUGGUCAGGAGCGUCACCCCAGCACGGGGGUUUAUGCCGUAUGAGCAGGAGGGAGCACAAAGACGAGGCAGCAGGAGGGAAUAUACUCCUUUACGUGAGCGGUAAUAAUAUGAUCAUACCACCAAGUACGUAAAGAAAGAUGUAAUGAAGAGACAAAAUAUAUUUAACGGAGAAGACAUAGCGGAAGAAUAAUCACAUAAAUGGCACCGGCAACAGGAAGACGGGGCUGCCAUGCCUUCCAGAGCACCAGAUGCCCACAGCCACCUGCAAAAGGACAGCAGCACAGUGGCGCUCGGGGUCGGAGGAGAAAUGUGGCUGACACACAGCCCUGUGUCUGCUCAGUGCAGAUCUGGGCAUACAUCUGCCUCCUCUUGAGGCUGUGUUUCAUGGAGGACUGCCCUCACUCUGGCACUGUGGCCCUCCAACUGAAGAGAUUUAAAUCCUGGUACGACUUUGGAUCUCCGUUAUGUGCUGACUCCCAGGAAGGGCACAGCUCCCAGAGGGCUCUCAAACCUCCCAAGUGUUUCUUACUCAGCAUGCUGGCUGCUGUAAAUCCUGCUCUCCAUUUGCUCAAAUGGGCUGACUUGGCUGGAUCCCUCUGCACCCUCACCUCACCAGAAGACGUGCUCAGGCACAGGCUUUGCAAUGGUGAUACAUGAGAAACAACGUCAGAAAGCCAAUCCUACACCCAGCGUGGGGCUGGCCAACCUGUGACACUUAGCUUCACGAUGGUGAUAAGCAGAUUAAGUAUGGCUCCCAUGCUCGAACUAUAUCACACGUCUGGCACCAGGACUGUGCUGCUGGAAAAGCUGGAUAAUUCAGAUCUUCAGCCAUAGGAAGCUGUAAGUCAGCAGGAACUGCCCAAAAUGGUAUUUCAGGACCCUGCUGGCAUACAGUUGCAUGCUCCAUUCAGUCCAUAUCACGUGCUGCAAAACUGAGAUACCCCUGGGCAGCUUCCAGCAACUUACACCUGCAAACUUCUGUCUCUGAGGUAUGGAGCAGCCCAGAGCCCCUGAGCCACAGGACAUGUGGGUGUGGGUCCUGUGAACUGGGGGGCAAGUUCACAGGACCCAGCAGUGUUAUGUGCCUCCUCCUGCACAACAGCUCCCAUCCCCCAGACACCUCAGCAAAGCUGUGCCUGCCGCCCCGAGGGAUCUGGGGAAAUGAACGUCUGCACUACAUUGCUAGCACAGAUUCACUAUAAAAACUCCAUGUCAUGUCUGAGUUGAGCCACAUAAAAAGCAAAGGAAAGAUAGCGGCAGUUUUGGUAAACUUGAUUAAAGAAAUUACUGUGGGCUGAGUGAUACUGAAUAAAGCUGGGACAGGAUGAAGAGAUGUGAGAAAUGGAGUUUUCCUUUCCUCCCUUUAACCCUUCUCCCUUUUUUCAAAGUGAGCUUGACCUAGUGUGACUCCUAGCAGUUACCUGCUGGGCGCACAUCAGAUAUGUAUCAGUAACUGGAGAAUGAGGGAUAAGUCUCAGGCCACGGAAAAGAAACCAAAAUGAAAGCCUUGCCAUUAAGAAUAUUAAUAUUAGGACUGUUUGAGUUCAGACAGUUACAGACUGGAAGGCUCAGUUGCCACCCAUAGUUUGUGUAAGCAGGAAUAUCAUCAAUCCAUCCUGUGAAAACCAGUACUUCAGCUGGCAGAGUGGGAAGAGAAGAGCGAGAGAAAGAGAGGGCUUUUGUCUCAGGUUACAAGUCUGAGGGCUUGGAGAAACCCUACUACCUCUUCUUUUUUUUUUUUUUAUUUUCCUGUAGAAAACAAAUAAAACGAAACAGAAGGCAAAAAACCCCAACAACAUAGCAACAUGACAGUGAUGUGUAUAAUGAUCUCUGGCAGCCUAAGAUAAGAUCACAGCCCUUGGGACUGGUAGAGCCUGGAGCUAACAGACCCCUGCUUUGGGGAAAAACUAGAAGCGGACAGAAAAAAAGUCCCGUUCUCAUAUUAAAAAGGAAGGAG
ensembl:lncRNA